AUACGUAGGGGGCGAGCGUUAUCCGGAAUUAUUGGGCGUAAAGAGUGCGUAGGUGGUUACCUAAGCAGGGGGUGAAAGGCACUGGCCUAACCAAUGUCAGCCCCCUGAACUGGGCUACUUGAGUGCAGGAGAGGGAAGUGGAAUUCCUAGUGUAGCGGUGAAAUGCGUAGAUAUUAGGAGGAACACCGGCGGCGAAGGCGACUUUCUGGACUGUUACUGACACUGAGGCACGAAAGUGUGGGGAGCAAACAGGAUUAGAUACCCUGGUAGUCCACACCGUAAACGAUGAGCACUAGGUGUCGGGUAAGCAAUUACUCGGUGCCGCAGUUAACGCAUUAAGUGCUCCGCCUGGGGAGUACGUACGCAAGUAUGAAACUCAAAUGAAUUGACGGGG
rnacentral:rRNA from 1 species